CAGCCGCCGCGGGAAUACGAGGGGGGCAAGCGUUGUUCGGAAUUAUUGGGCGCAAAGGGUGCGUAGGCGGCUUGACAAGUCUUGUGUGAAAUCUAUGGGCUCAACCCAUAGUCUGCACGGGAAACUGUCGGGCUUGAGAAUGGGAGAGGUGAGUGGAAUUUCCGGUGUAGCGGUGAAAUGCGUAGAUAUCGGAAGGAACACCUGUGGCGAAAGCGGCUCACUGGACCAUUCCUGACGCUGAUGCACGAAAGCUAGGGGAGCAAACAGGAUUAGAUACCCCGGUAGUCCCUGUCUCUUAUAC
rnacentral:rRNA from 1 species